GCUUUCGUGGUGUAGUGGUCAGCAUUCUCGGCGCGUAUUCGAGAGGUCCGUGGUUCGAGUCCCGGCGAGGGCA
rfam:Stegodyphus mimosarum contig25361, whole genome shotgun sequence.